rnacentral:lncRNA from 1 species
UGCAGAGGGGAGUGGAAGGAGGAGCUGUUUCUCUAGGCCUUUUCAACAUACCUGUGGAGAUUUCUGUCACUGAAAGAAAUACCAACAUUGAAGAUUGCUAUUUAAAACAUUGCUGGUUCCUGUCAAGAAAACUUAAUUUCUCUGAAAACUUUCAUUCAUAUUGGACUCAAACUGAAGAGUAG